GGGGCUGUAGCUCAGUUGGUUAGAGCGCUUCCCUGUCACGGAAGAGGUCGCGGGUUCGAGCCCCGUCGGUCCCGCCA
rnacentral:tRNA from 1 species